ACGCUGGCGGCGUGCCUAAUACAUGCAAGUAGAACGCUGAAGCUUGGUGCUUGCACCGAGCGGAUGAGUUGCGAACGGGUGAGUAACGCGUAGGUAACCUGCCUCUUAGCGGGGGAUAACUAUUGGAAACGAUAGCUAAUACCGCAUAAAAGACGAUAUCGCAUGAUAUUGAUUUGAAAGGUGCAAUUGCAUCACUAAGAGAUGGACCUGCGUUGUAUUAGCUAGUUGGUGAGGUAACGGCUCACCAAGGCGACGAUACAUAGCCGACCUGAGAGGGUGAUCGGCCACACUGGGACUGAGACACGGCCCAGACUCCUACGGGAGGCAGCAGUAGGGAAUCUUCGGCAAUGGGGGCAACCCUGACCGAGCAACGCCGCGUGAGUGAAGAAGGUUUUCGGAUCGUAAAGCUCUGUUGUAAGAGAAGAACGAGUGUGAGAGUGGAAAGUUCACACUGUGACGGUAACUUACCAGAAAGGGACGGCUAACUACGUGCCAGCAGCCGCGGUAAUACGUAGGUCCCGAGCGUUAUCCGGAUUUAUUGGGCGUAAAGCGAGCGCAGGCGGUUAGAUAAGUCUGAAGUUAAAGGCUGUGGCUUAACCAUAGUACGCUUUGGAAACUGUUUAACUUGAGUGCAGAAGGGGAGAGUGGAAUUCCAUGUGUAGCGGUGAAAUGCGUAGAUAUAUGGAGGAACACCGGUGGCGAAAGCGGCUCUCUGGUCUGUAACUGACGCUGAGGCUCGAAAGCGUGGGGAGCAAGCAGGAUUAGAUACCCUGGUAGUCCACGCCGUAAACGAUGAGUGCUAGGUGUUGGGUCCUUUCCGGGACUCAGUGCCGCAGCUAACGCAUUAAGCACUCCGCCUGGGGAGUACGACCGCAAGGUUGAAACUCAAAGGAAUUGACGGGGGCCCGCA
rnacentral:rRNA from 1 species